rnacentral:rRNA from 1 species
GUAGGGGGCAAGCGUUGUCCGGAUUUAUUGGGCGUAAAGCGCGUGUAGGCGGCCAGACAGGUCCGUUGUGAAAACUGGAGGCUCAACCUCCAGCUGUCGAUGGAAACCGUUUGGCUAGAGUCCGGAAGAGGAGAGUGGAAUUCCUGGUGUAGCGGUGAAAUGCGCAGAUAUCAGGAAGAACACCGAUGGCGAAGGCAGCUCUCUGGGACGGUACUGACGCUGAGACGCGAAAGCGUGGGGAGCGAACAGGAUUAGAUACCCUGGUAGUCCACGCCGUAAACGAUGGGUGCUAGGUGUGGGAGGUGUCGACUCCUCCCGUGCCGCAGCUAACGCAUUAAGCACCCCGCCUGGGGAGUACGGCCGCAAGGCUAAA